CCCGGCGGGUCUCGCGGCCCCGAGACAAUCGAUCGGCAUUUGGUGAGGUUUCUUCUCGCCGAUAAGAGGCCGCGGAUCACUCUCUCGAAGGAACAAGGCCUCUAGUUUCACUUCCAAAAUGUGCGGGGGAUUUACGUGCUCGAAAAACUCGUUGUUAGCCCUAAACAUCUUGUAUGUUGUUGUGGCGUUUAUCCUAUUUGGGGUAGCAGCUGCUGCCAAUGCAGCCUCCAUCGUCACUUCCCUGUCGCUGGUUUCUGGAAUUAUUGCCUGCGGAGUCUUCUUACUAAUCAUAUCCAUAGUGGGUCUCAUUGGGGCGAGUAAACAUCACCAGGUGAUGCUGUUCUUCUACAUGAUUGUUUUGUUCAUCAUAUUCAUCAUCCAGUUCUCUGUGGCCUGUGCAUGCCUUGCCAUUAACGAACAGCAGCAGCAGAUUGUUGCUAAGAAGGGUUGGGAAAUCUCCAACAACGCCACUAAACACGACGCGCAGAAGUUCUUCGGAUGCUGCGGCUUCGAUAAGUACAGCAAAAACGAAUCUAUUGGCAUGGAUCACCCAACCUGCGUUGAUAUUCAAAAUAAAGAGGGCAAAUACUGCUGCGGGGAUGUCGAAACAGCCGACGAUGCGACCUGCUGCCGUGACGAGAACAGCACUACCUGUUUCUGUGACCCCUGCGCGGAGCCAAUCCAAGAGUCAAUGGAGAAGGGCCUGAAUCUGGUGGGCGGCAUCGGUCUCUUCUUCUCGUUUACAGAGUUUCUUGGUGUGUGGCUCACGGUGCGGUACAGGAACCAGCGGGACCCCCGAGCUAACCCAUCAGCCUUCCUGUAGAGCGAUGGGGUCUGAUUUAGCCCCCACUCUCAUUCUCACUAACAUAUCAGAUCAUUGGCUUCUUCAUCGCCAAGCAGUAUCGGCACCAAAUGGACCCCAGAGCCAACAUCCAGUCUCUUCUGCGAUAAUUUUGUUAAAAUUACUUGGGUUGUUUGGCUAUACUAUUGGAAAAUGUGCACAUAGAUGAAAAUAUAUAUAUAUAUAUAUAUAUAUAUAUAUGUAUAUAUAUAUAUAUAUAUAUAUAUAUAUAUAUAUAUAUAUACAUAUUUACAUUUAUAUAUAUGUAUGUUUAUAUAUAUAUAAUUUCAUCAUUAUGGUGUAUUUCCUGGAGCCCUCCCCCUGGUCUAUAUUUUCCUCUUCAAUCAUACUUUCACCAUAAUUUUCACUCAAUCAGCAUGGAUUUCAUGAUAUAAAACAUGUGGAAUUACUUAGCUCUCUGAAGUUCGGAAAGAGCAAUACUCGUCCCCCCCUCCCCUCCCCUCCUCAUCCCUUCCCCAGUCACGGUUUGAAAAGAGGAAAUGCCAAGAGAUGAAUUUUAUUACUUUUUUAUAUUUAUUAUUCUAUUGUAGUAAGACACUUUUCGUUGAAGAUUUUUCUUUCUUUGUCUCUUUCUCUUUCUUUUUCUUUCUCUCUUUCUUUCCUCUACAUGCCUUCAAGCCCUCCAUUGAAGUGACAUUAUAUUGAGUGACGUCCCCAAGCCUGUUCUUGAAUGUUCAGCUCCCUUGUGUUGUCACUGAGAGCCACUAUUUUCCUCCAGUAGCAACUGCAAAAUUAAUAAAGGAAGUUGUUGAAUUUGUUAUUUUUGUUUGUAUGUGGAAUGAUAGUGUUUAUACUUUUCUUUCUUUUUUUACUUUGUCUUUUUUCCUCAUUUUUUUCUGGUUACAUUAUUUAAGGAUUUGAAUGUGGGUGACGGUGUAUUAAUGUUAUUGAAUAUUUAGUAUAUUGUGGAAGACCUCUUAUUUAGAUUUUUUUGUCUUUAUAUGGAAUAUGAAGCUUCCAUUUGCCAUACCUUUAAUGUUCUUUAUAUGUGCAAUACUUUUGAAGAAACUAAUAUUCAGAUUUUUUUUUUUUUUUUCUUGUUCUUAGUUCAAAAUUUAUUUCAUUCUCUCUCUGCCAUGUUUACUUGUUGAAGACUUGGCUGCUUAUUUUGUUAGAGAUAAUCUGUAAUUAAUUAUCAGUGGUAUUUAGAUUAUUUAGACUGUACUUAUCUUUUCAAUUAGGUGCAAGUUUUUCAGUCUUGCUUGUUUGAGGCCAAAAGCAUAGUAAUCUGGCUUGAUGUCGCUGCAGAUUACUAUUGCAUUCGGACGUGAGAAUUUUUCAGAUCUCACGGCGCGCUGUUGUUAUUUGGAAUAAUCUUAGCCUGAGUAUUGAAAAUAGAGCAGAGAAAUUGUUUUGUAUAAAACAGUUCAAAUAAUUGUGUUCACGCUGAAGAAAAAAAGAAAAGAGCUAUAUUUUUUCUGUGAAAAUAUUAAUUCAUAAAAAAUAAGGUUGAAUAACAAUGAAUGGAUCAAAUGUAUGUGCCUGACUUGUAAAGAAACUAUAUAAUGUGGUGAACAAUCUAAUAAAUAAUGUUACAUAUUAUGUAUAUUGAAUAGAUGUGGCAUUGUAGGUGUCUUCUUGGAUGCUGCGAAUAUACCUUGGAAAAGAAAAGAUAAAGAAGUGGGAGUAAUGUCAACAUUAACGUCUAUUCACUUUGCAUUUUAUGGAUCGAACAACUUUUCCCCCUUCAAGCAGAAUUUGUGUUAGAUGACUGUGUUUAGAAUGUAAUAAUUGUAUAUCCCCUUAUAGCCAUUAAGAAUAUUUCCCCAGUUCCUUGGGUAGUGUUCUUGAAGCAUUGGUUCAUCCUUGCCAGACGUGUCACUAACAACCAUACUUUUACAACAGUCCCAUAUAUUGUAAUCCAGUUACAGUGUUUCAUUAUUACACACGAGCUUGUGGUUAGUUAGUUUGGCUCACUAUGUGUGGUUGGUUAUUAUUGUUGUUGUUAUGUAGUCCUUUUUUCUUGUAUUCAGCCAAUAGACCACUUUUAUAAGGCUAAACAUGAAAAAGGAUAAAGAUUUAAGACAUUCAUGUUUCUGAAUGAAUUAAAAUUUUCUUAAAGAUUUUCUUCUUUACAAUUUACAUGUGAUCAUAUAACCGUUGGAACAUGACAAACAUUCCAUACUUUGGGUACUGUGUGUAUGAUAAAUUUAUAAUAACUGACAAUCAGCAGGUAAUGACAUCUCGAUUUACUCUAACGUCUUUUGAGGUGAUCUGUUGGUGUUCAAGAUAAUCAGUUGUACCAUGUAGUGUAUAUUUGAAAUAUGUAUAUGAGGCUUCCCGAUGUAGUUAAGUGGAUUUACAGUUAUGACAUUAAUUGUUAAAUGUUUAUUAGCUUUUCCGUUCAUGGUGCUUCUCCUUCUGAAAUUUCAUCUUAAAGGUCUGUUGGGCUGUCGUUGAAACUCAUUUUCAAGGUCUCAUUUUAGUCUAUGAUGUCCAGUGCUGGAUCCUUUGGGCAAAGAAUUCUGGUUGUUACUUCUUGAAGAAAAAUCCUGCCCAUACAGUACAGUAUUAUGCCAAUUGCCAUCACAUCCAAGAGAAUGUUACAGUGUUCAAAGAAAGACUUUUUGAAUUGAUUUUGAUGCCCUUGAUUAAUGGGAUAUUUGUGUAUAUGCCUCUAGUCAUUAUUCUUCACUUGUUUGGAGCCACAUGAACAAUUUAAUAAAGCCCAUAUUUGACCAA
rnacentral:misc_RNA from 1 species